rnacentral:rRNA from 1 species
UACACACCGCCCGUCACACCAUGGGAGUUGGUUUUACCUUAAGACGGUGUGCUAACCAGCAAUGGAGGCAGCCGGCCACGGUAAGGUCAGGCGACGUGGGGUG